CUCACUCCCAUCUCUCGCAAAGACCCACAACCCUACCUUGUGCUGAACUGGCGAAAACCUCUCCGACGAAAACCCCUCUGGCAAAGAACCCCUCCAUCGAAGAACCCCUCCAUCGAAGAACCCCUCCGCCGAAGAACGCCCACCCUCCACCCUCAAUUCGAUCCUCUCUUUAAUUCAUUCUCUCCCCACAUUCACUCUUCGAUUUUCGUUCGUUCACGCUCAUUCUCUAGAAUUCGAAGGCUCUUCUUGAUUCUCUUCUUUCUCUCCUUUAUCCUCAUCUCAAUCUUUAGAAUUUGGAGGCUCCAACAUCUUCGUGAUUUGCAAAGAAGAGAUCUCUACGAUGCAGAGAAGACCUAAACCUUAAACGGACGAGUUCUGAAAAGGGAGGUUGUUUCUGGGAAGCAAUCGACCUUAUUCAAGUUCUUGGCUCCUCUUGCUUACGCCUUAUUUUUCCUAGUUAGAAUUGUGUUGUGGAAAAACCCUAUUAUGAGGAAUCAGCUGUUCACGACAGUUUUGGUUGGUGCUUUUUUCCAUGAGUAUUACUUGGUGUAUCCUCUUAACCCUUAUAUUUGCUUUAAUUUUAUCAUUGCCUCUAUCAUAUUGAAUUCACAUUCUUGAAUCUCUUGUGAUUUCCGUGUAUCUUUGUUCAUUUGUUGAUGAUAUGCAUCUACUGUUCUGUAAGUUUAUCUUCUUAUUUAAGAAUUUUAUGUUUGGCCCACCAUUGAUUGCUAUGUAUUGUAGAACCGAAUUGGUGGGAUAUUUAGACUAAUGUGGAGUUGGAAAUUAACGUAAUCUAAGUUCAAAAAUUUUCAAAGGUGUUGAUUGGUCUGUUAACUACAAAAGUAUUGGGUGUUUUUCAUUUGUUUGAAUGUAAUUAAGCCGAUGUGGUGGCUCGAGGAUACAGUGGCUACAAUACGAGAUGGGCGCUUAAGGUCAUUGAACGAGUCUUCCCACCAUCAGAAGAACGGGUGCUGCCAGAGAAGGUGCCGCCUCACCACUUGCUGUGAUGAUUGUUAAAAAUUGUGUCAAGCAAUUAACCCUUCUAAGAGGAUACAUAGAGAAAAUUGUGGAGGACGCAAAAUGCUGUAACUUUUACUUUUGGGUCUUUACAAUUUUGGGGAGGCGGCUAUUUAAUAUUAUAAAUGAUUUGCCAACAGUAUUUGAAGUGGUCACCAAUAUUGCAAAGAAACAAGUUAAGGAAAAAUCAUCAAAUCCAAGUCAAGUUUUAAAUUGAUUGGCUCUGCCGUUGGUGGUACUUAUUUUAGCUCAUGAAUUGGAGGUAGUAGAGGAUGCAAAAUGCAAGUUUAUUUCAAGCCAAGUUUCAUUCAAGGUCAUUGAGUUGGGUUGAUAGAAGUAAUGUUUUGUAUAUAACUAUAUCGAACAAAUAUGUAAAGUUUUCGAAAUGUUGAUACAUAUAUGGUAAAAUGUUAAUAUAUGUUAAAGUUUUGGAA